rnacentral:tRNA from 2 species
GGGCCGGUAGUCCAGUCUGGUAGUGACGCCGCCUUCGCAAGGCGGAGAUCGCGGGUUCAAAUCCCGCCCGGUCCA